rnacentral:rRNA from 1 species
AUUGAACGCUGGCGGAAUGCUUUACACAUGCAAGUCGAACGGCAGCACGGGUGCUUGCACCUGGUGGCGAGUGGCGAACGGGUGAGUAACAUAUCGGAACGUAUCCAAUAAUGGGGGAUAACUAAUCGAAAGGUUGGCUAAUACCGCAUACGCCCUACGGGGGAAAGCUAGGGACCUUCGGGCCUGGCGUUAAUGGAGCGGCCGAUAGCUGAUUAGCUAGUUGGUGGGGUAAUGGCCUACCAAGGCGACGAUCAGUAGCUGGUCUGAGAGGACGACCAGCCACACUGGAACUGAGACACGGUCCAGACUCCUACGGGAGGCAGCAGUGGGGAAUUUUGGACAAUGGGCGCAAGCCUGAUCCAGCCAUUCCGCGUGAGUGAAGAAGGCCUUCGGGUUGUAAAGCUCUUUCGCAAGGGAAGAAAACUUAUCCUCUAACAUAGGAUGAGGUUGACGGUACCUUGAUAAGAAGCACCGGCUAACUACGUGCCAGCCGCCGCCGUAA